rnacentral:rRNA from 1 species
UACGUAGGGUGCAAGCGUUGUCCGGAAUUAUUGGGCGUAAAGAGCUCGUAGGCGGUUUGUCGCGUCUGCUGUGAAAACGCGAGGCUCAACCUCGCGCCUGCAGUGGGUACGGGCAGACUGGAGUGCGGUAGGGGAGAUUGGAAUUCCUGGUGUAGCGGUGGAAUGCGCAGAUAUCGGGAAGAACACCAAAGGCGAAAGCGCUGACUGCCUGGGCCGAAAACUGACACUGAGACGCGAAAGCCAGGGGAGCGAACGGG